rnacentral:rRNA from 1 species
CAGGAAUAUUGCGCAAUGGAGGAAACUCUGACGCAGCGACGCCGCGUGGGUGAUGAAGGCCUUCGGGUCGUAAAGCCCUGUCGGAGGGGAAGCAAAGUUGUCUGGCUAAUAUCCAGAUGACCUUUGACGGUACCCUCAAAGGAAGCACCGGCUAACUCCGUGCCAGCAGCCGCGGUAAUACGGGGGGAGCAAGCGUUGUUCGGAUUUACUGGGCGUAAAGGGCGCGUAGGCGGCCACCGCAAGUCGACUGUGAAAUCUCCGGGCUUAACCCGGAAAGGUCAGCCGAUACUGCGGGGCUAGAGUGCAGAAGGGGCAACUGGAAUUCUCGGUGUAGCGGUGAAAUGCGUAGAUAUCGAGAGGAACACCUGCGGCGAAGGCGGGUUGCUGGGCUGACACUGACGCUGAUGCGCGAAAGCUAGGGGAGCGAAC